UACGUAGGGGGCAAGCGUUGUCCGGAUUUAUUGGGUGUAAAGAGCGUGUAGGCGGUUUGGUAGGUCCGCUGUGAAAACUCGAGGCUCAACCUCGAGACGCCGGUGGAAACCAUCAGACUAGAGUCCGGAAGAGGAGAGUGGAAUUCCUGGUGUAGCGGUGAAAUGACGCAGAUAUCAGGAAGAACACCCGUGGCUAAGGCGGCUCUCUAGUACGGUACUGACGCUGAGACGCGAAAGCGUGGGGAGCGAACAGG
rnacentral:rRNA from 1 species